rnacentral:rRNA from 1 species
UCGGGAAUUUUGGGCAAUGGGGGGAAACCCUGACCCAGCAACGCCGCGUGAAGGAUGAAGUAUUUCGGUAUGUAAACUUCGAAAGAAUAGGAAGAAUAAAUGACGGUACUAUUUAUAAGGUCCGGCUAACUACGUGCCAGCAGCCGCGGUAAUACGUAGGGACCAAGCGUUGUUCGGAUUUACUGGGCGUAAAGGGCGCGUAGGCGGCAUGACAAGUCACUUGUGAAAUCUCUGGGCUUAACCCAGAACGGCCAAGUGAUACUGUCGCGCUAGAGUGCAGAAGGGGCAAUCGGAAUUCUUGGUGUAGCGGUGAAAUGCGUAGAUAUCAAGAGGAACACCUGAGGUGAAGACGGGUUGCUGGGCUGACACUGACGCUGAGGCGCGAAAGCCAGGGGAGCAAACGGGAUUAGAUACCCCUGUAGUCCCUGAGCGGGCUGGCAAGGCGCAU